rnacentral:lncRNA from 1 species
UCUUACACAUUGUUACUUUUUUGUUUUUUUGAGACAGAGUCUUGCUCUGUCACCCAGGCUGGAGUGCAGUAGCGCUAUCUUGGCUCACUGCAAGCUCUGCCUCCCGGGUUCAUGCCAUUCUCCUGCCUCAGCCUCCCGAAUAGCUGGGACUACAGGCGCCCGCCAAUACGCCUGGCUAAUUUUUUUUUGUAUUUUUAGUACAGAAGGGGUUUCACCAUGUUAGCCAGGAUGGUCUCGAUCUCCUGACCUUGUGAUUCGCCCGCCUCGGCCUCCCAAAGUACUGGGAUUACAGGCAUAAGCCACCGUGCCCGGCCCACAUUGUUACAUUUUAUCCCUACUAUAUAAACCCCUAGUUUUAGUCCAUCAGGGGACAUGAAUUGGAGACUGAGCUCCCAUCUCCUUGCCUACAGCACUCAAUGAAAGUAUUCUUCCUUGUCAAUACUAAUUGUCUCAGUGAUUGGCCCUCUGUGCAGUGAGCACCAAGACCUAGACCCAACACCUGGUGUUUCGGUAACAAAAUAAUGAGUGGAAUAUUUUC